AAAACAUUCGGACCACUGGUUUACCGAGCAAAAUCACCCGCUCGGUGGAAGAUCUUCCCUACGUCGU
rnacentral:pre_miRNA from 1 species